UAAUUCACGAAGAAAGUUGGGUUAGUUGGUGUUGAUGCAGUUGCUGUGACUAGUGCGAACAACGGAAAAAAAGGUGGGACAGGACAGAGCCCUCUCUCGUAUCCCACCUUUUUUCGUUAGUCUUGUUCGCGUUAGUAAUUAUGUCACAGCCCCCACAAGACUAUCAAAUCUGCUAGUCACUUUUUAUUGCCCAUAUUUUAAGAGGUUGUUAGUGCCUGUUUAUGCCAAACUGUAGCAGGCAGGCAUAAACUGGCCAUGCAUGCCCACAUGUAAAAAAUAAAAAGAACCACAAACUCAGUGUAAAUAAAUUGGUGAAUAAAUAGCCAAAAUAGCAGCCAAAAUCUAUCGCACUUUGACAGAAAAAAAUAACGAAAUUACAUAACCAUCAAUCACUAAUGCUGUCAUACGAUCAGCACAUUUUGCCCAAUUGCUGCUUGAAAAAUUAUUUGCACUAAGUCUUUCACAACUUGUGCACUGUAUGCUGAGAGAGCUUGACGUAGUAAAAAAACCUCGUAUUUGCCGCGCAACAGCGGCAAAUACGAGUUUAGCGUGGCAACGGAGCAUUAUCUGUGUAUAUACUACACAAAACUGAAUUUGAAAUUAACGGAGAAAUAACUAAGUAGUUCGUGCAGUGAUGGUUCAGAGCAAGGCAACGCUUUGCGAUUCGUUAAAAGCUGACCUCGAAACGACCAAAAUGUCAAUGUCCCUACAUUCAAGCAGGGUCGUUAAAUGACGAACAUGCAGCAUAUCCUGGCGUUCGCGCACGCCGGAAACAAACUAAAAAACACUUUUGCAAAUCGCUGACACAAUAACGACGCAUAUCAGACACGCGCACGCACGCACGCACGCGCACACGCACGCGCGCGCACACACACACACACACACACACACACACAGAACACAAGCAGUGUCCGAAAGCACUCGCGACAGACAGUGCGGACGUUCUCGCGCGUUGGCAAAUCGAGCCGGCGUGGCAGCAGCGUCCGAUGCACAGACGGCACUCUUCAUGAACUAUACACAUCCGCAAAACGGCACACAAGCCAGAACAAAGUGCGUCGACGACGCCACUCGACACCAAAUGCGUGGUCGAUACCGCCGCAUAAAACACCAACACCUCGUAGAAUUCACAAACCAAACCACGAUAUGCUGCGAUUUAACGGCCCUGACCGGUUGAUACGGCUGCUCCGCAGGUUGCUGUCCUCGAUGUUGAAAGAAACGUUGUUGAAACACGCCGCAUCACUCGCAUAACAUGUGAAUACCAGCCGCCACCAUCGAUGCGAUCACGAUUACCAUGGAGCACCGUGCCGAUACAGUGGUGCCGAGGAGCCAGAGACCAACGUUGCCUGAGACGACAAAACGGUAGACGACGAUGUAAACAAUAUGGCCGCCAUGACGUUUAUCCGGCUCUUGCAAAGCUUCCGGUGCCUCUAUCUUGACGAAAUGACAUCAUUUUCCCGUGUUCGGCUGUCAAAAUGUUACCAGUCUAGAAACGUUGGGCUGUCGGUAUGUGAGCGCAGCAUGAAUAUUUUCCUUGCGGACGGUCGAUGUGGUAGUUUAAUCAUAUUUACGCUUUGCCGAGAGAAAAUGUGCUCUUUUUUGUGCGCAUCAGCGAUCGCUAAGCCCCUGGGCCUGUGCAACGCUGCUAGCUAGCUGUAUCUCUCGUGCGGUGCGGCGUUGUUGGUUAUCGUAGUUCGGUCCAUUCGUGCUCUUUGUUCCCGGCUCAUUAGCAGCCUCUGGUACUCUCGCCGAUCUCGCAGCGGUUCACAGUGCACGGAAGAAUGUGUUGGAAAUUGUACUAUUACGUUCAUCCGCAAUUUAACAGUGUUUAUGCCGGAAGGACAGUUCGUGCAGUCGAUGCCGCCGGACCUGACACGAAGGAGCGUUUGCCGAGUAUGUCUCGAAAGGGAUGUCACGAUUUCGUGAGACGGAUGCAAUCUCUGCACCACAUGGGAGCCUGUGGCAAAAUGCAGUCUGAGCAGCCCGACAAGGAAUCUGAUCUGCUUGCUUUGACAAGGUAUGGCUGGGCCUGCAGAGAAAGUGUAAGCAGACUGUGCUGUGUUGCUGAUCAGUGCUGAUCUCCACGCCUGAGUUGGUCCCACAACAUCCAGGCACCAGCGUGCUUUGCUUCAUCAUUGACAGGGUAAUAUGAUAUGGAGAGCUUGCACCUGGAUAUCAGUUUUGAGCUUGACUUUUGAGAAAUAUGUUGAGAUAGAAGACACAAGGGUUGGCCUUGGUGAUAGAUACACGUGUGUGUUUUUUUAAAGUGCUCUUUUUGAAAUAUUCUUCAUGGACCUAUUUUCAGCAAAUGUUUACAUUCCUUAAUUGCAAACUGCCAUGGAGCUGGUUUAUGCCUUAAACUAGCACUCUUUCACCAAGAAAAAGCCUUAUUUAGCAUAAAAUUCAUAGGAAAGGCAAGGAGGUGACAGGACAGAACACUACUAACACCAUCCAAUUUUAGUGCUUGCACAGCAAUAUAAAGCGAGAGUUGAAGGGACGAGGUUUGGGUUUGUGUUCGUUGGUUCUAUGGGUUUUGGAGCCCCACACAGCUUCUUUGCUAGGCAGACAAGCUUGUGGGAUGUGCUUCUGAAAUUUGUACAGCACACUGACAGUGCAGGUUGCGGGCCUCAUCUUCGGAAGGAAGUGCACUGACGGCACCAUUCAUG